GACAGAGGGUGCAAACGUUGUUCGGAAUUACUGGGCGUAAAGUGUGCGCAGGCGGCCAUGCAAGUCGAGUGUGAAAGCCCCGGGCUUAACUUGGGAAUUGCGCUCGAAACUACGUGGCUGGAGUGUGGCAGAGGAAGGUGGAAUUCCACGUGUAGCGGUGAAAUGCGUAGAGAUGUGGAGGAACACCAAUGGCGAAGGCAGCCUUCUGGGCCAACACUGACGCUCAUGCACGAAAGCGUGGGGAGCAAACAGG
rnacentral:rRNA from 1 species